AACGAUCGCUGGCGGCAUGCCUAACACAUGCAAGUCGAACGAGACCUUCGGGUCUAGUGGCGCACGGGUGCGUAACGCGUGGGAACCUGCCCUUAGGUUCGGAAUAACUCCCCGAAAGGGGUGCUAAUACCGGAUAAUGUCUUCGGACCAAAGAUUUAUCGCCUUUGGAUGGGCCCGCGUUGGAUUAGCUAGUUGGUAGGGUAAAAGCCUACCAAGGCGACGAUCCAUAGCUGGUCUGAGAGGAUGAUCAGCCACACUGGGACUGAGACACGGCCCAGACUCCUACGGGAAGCAGCAGUGGGGAAUAUUGGACAAUGGGCGAAAGCCUGAUCCAGCAAUGCCGCGUGAGUGAUGAAGGCCUUAGGGUUGUAAAGCUCUUUUACCCGGGAUGAUAAUGACAGUACCGGGAGAAUAAGCUCCGGCUAACUCCGUG
rnacentral:rRNA from 1 species